AACCGUAGCUGCAAAUCUUGACCCAAUUUACACGACGGAAAUAGGUACAUGAUUGAUUGAAGAUGUAUUUGUUGGUUGCCUGCCUACCAGGCAAACAUUGGUUUUGUAUUCAUGCUGACUAGAACCCUACAGAUGGAUCAGAAUGGGUAAGGCCUGGAUACCAUGCUGAUGGUCAAACAUUUGCGGCUACGGCUAAUCUAUCACUAGAUCAUGCUAUUAAUAAGAUGCAGCUGCGAGAUGAUACUGAAGACGACACAACUUCCGAACUGCAUGAAACUGUUUCUCUAAAUAAUGAAUGCAAAAAAUACGCUGAGGAAGCAAGGGAGCAGUACAAUGCAAGGAGGCGUGCAGCUUAUCGGAAGAAAAAUAAUGAGGAUAUUGUCAGCUUACAAGAUGAGAAUCAGCCGGUACUUGCAAAAUCAGGUGAGGUUGAUGGCUGAUCUUAGUUUGAUGUGCAUACGUAUAGUAUGCACAUGAUUCGUUGUAUUAAUCUAUAUCCCUGAUUAUAGAUGAUAUGAUGCUCAUACUAUGUUGCUUAUUAGAUCAUAGGGAUCUUAUCAACGCUCGUAGGCUGGUGGCUUAUCGCAAUAACAAGUCAGAUGGUUCGGCUAACCAACAAGUCAAUGGGAAGUCAUCCCGUCGCUAGUCUCUAUGUGAUAUCACAAAUGUUCUCGAAGAUAGGGAGAUAAAUAAACCCACACGAGAUUAUCAUGGUUGGUAAAUUGAUCCACGUCCCAUAUGCACUGUGUUUGCACGAAGGUAGUCACUUAUUACGCAAUUUAAAUAAGUACUGACCAAUCUUGUUGAAUCAUAUAAUUCAGCUAGCUCAACAUUUCCUGCUACAAGUACGGUCACAUCUGGUCUCAUUAAUGAAAAUGAAAUACAAGAUGCAAAUGUAAUCAUGUAUGACACCCAAGAAACAGAGCAUAAAAUGGAAGAAGAACGCAAGAGAGACCAUAGAAACGCCCUGAGGAGGGCUUCCUAUCGGCGGAAGAAACAAUAUAAUGUUCAAGUUGAACAUGCACAGACCAUUCAUUUAUCAGGUAAGCUUAUAAUGAUUUAACCAUUAUGGUCAGAACCGUCUUAAUAAUUAAGCAUUAAUUUGUGUGGACAACUUUGGUUCACCAGGCAACCCCACUAGCUCUAACUAUACAUCAUUCUCGCGUGAUGCGCGGACAUUUCCUGAUACAACUACGGUCUCAUGUGGGAUCGUUAAUGACAACGAGCUACAAGGUAAUCAAAUUUUGCCUACUCAUUCAACAAUGGCUGGCAUGUUUAUGUUAUAUU